AAUUAAACAUUCAGACAUGCGGCCAAUGGCAUCAAAACAUGUACAUAGAACAGAUGGAUGUCUGUGCAAUCUGGAGCAUGUGAUCAAGUAUGCAUCAUAGAGUCACCUCUAACUCUGGCCUGCCAAAGUCCUCUGUAUUGUGUUGGAAACAGCUGAUUUAUAUACUAAUGAAGAAUGUAUAGGCAAUGUCAUUUAAGCUCGGAGUAAUUAAUCAUUUACAGGAGAGAUCAACCGUUCUGUUUAACAGCCGAUGGUAUGAGAACACAUGGGGAUUUAUGUCAGAAGUGCAUUUGAUUUUAUGUCAGUACAUUAGCGCCAGUUUAAUUGUAAUAAGCGAAUGAUUUAACAAACUGGCCCUCCGAUCAGACAUUAACAUGAAUUAUAUACCUCCUGACACGUAUUAAGGCAAGACACUGCAGGGAAAAAUACAGUUUUAUCAUUCACCUGUCCUUUUUUCUUUAUUUAGACUAAGGUGUACUCAUUUGACCGCCUGUAUCUGCACUGUAACAAAGGCUCGAUUUACAUUUAAAAACAUGCCCUAAUAUAUGAUCUACUGAAAAACAGUGGGAUAUAAACUGUUUUAUUAAUUGUAAUAUAAACAGCUAGUUUAAUA
rnacentral:rRNA from 1 species